UUUCUAGAUUCUGCCAGCAAAACAUAUUGCUAACACUAUUCAGUAGUUCAAAGUUUUGGCUUGAGAUGAGUGACAGGUCUGGAAAGCAGUUUGUCCUUAUUGAAUCCAUAAACAGUCAGUCCAGAGAGGAAAUAAGGAGAUGGAAAAAUCUUUAGUUUACUCUUUGUUUACCAAAUGCUGAAUAAAUUCCUAAAUCACCAGAGUUGUUAGGAUUUUCAAGGGAAAUGAUGAGAAUUAGAAUCUGGUUUCCAAAUAGGAGAGCAUUUGUUUACCAUUUUAUUUCAGAUACAGCUUAGCUAGCUGCCUUCAGAAAGAACAGUCAUAUAGGAUUCCUGCUUCUCAAAAAUAUAUUGUUAGAAAAAAUUGAGUGAAGCUAAUCCUUAAACAUAAGAGGAAAGUACAACUUCACAUUGUUGACAUAAAUACACCUGCUAAGUAUCUACUUCAGAUAAAUUCCAGUCUCAGAUACACAUAUAUAUAAGGAUACACACAAAUCACACAUUUCCUGAAUAUUCCCAAUGACACUGAGCACACAGCAUUCACCUAUUCACCCAGUGUAAGCAGUUUUUUAGGUCUGUGUGAGUUCAUACUGAAAAACUGUGAAGAUAAUCAGAGUUUUGCCACUGUCUUCAAUGUGAGCAGGCUUGAACCCAAUGGGAGUUGCAAUUGAUCUGCCUAGCAAUAUUCUGUGCAUUAAACAGCCUUUUUCCUCCAUGUAGAACUUUCUUUGUAAACUUUUUGAGUCACUGUGAAGGUAGAAAGCUUUAUGUUUUUCCCAGUCCUCAUUAUAAUGCAGUAAAGUUGCCCUUGAAGAUUGUUUUUCUGUGCUGAUGGCUAAACUUUACCUUUCAUACUGGUAUAGGCUAUACCACUAGGAAUAUGCCAGUGUUGAUGUAAAGAAUGACAGAGAUAGGAUUAAAAAAAAAAACAAAAAAAACCCUGCAUGUCCAAUCAUUCUCCAUUUUCCAAGCUUGCACAAUAAAUAGAUUAAUCAAUCUUCUAAGAAAACAUGCCCUGAAAGGAGAACUGCUUGACAAAAUAAAUAACACAGAUUUUAUUAGGCUUGUAUUCUAGUUACUUAUCACUUAUCUGUAGCAUAUACCUAAAGUAUACAAGUACGCCAAGACUUACCUAGUUACUCAUGAGAUUCUUACUCUAAAUUGUUCUACUUUUUUUUCUCAUGUAUUUUUACAAUUUGCAGGGUGAGUGGACAUCAAGAGAGUAGUAAAUUAUUUUUAUUUUGCCAAAAUACCUUCCUCCUGUUUUAUUUUAAGCUUAAACUGGGUAUGUAAACAUGGUAUGUGUAAUUAUUAGCAGAGUCAUCUUUUAUCUUUAUAACUUCUGUCACUGGAAAAUCUAGGCAUUGUACAAAAUUAAGUGUUUAUGUUUUUCCUGUAUUUCUGUUUUUGUUGAAAAAAUUCCAACAAAGUGGAAUUGUUACAUUGCUCUGUGGUAAAUGUGGUAGACGUUUUAAUCUUUGCUGUAAAAGACCUGUUAUAUUUCUGAACUUUUUAUGUUGAUACAUUUUGUAGUACUGAGUCAUUUAACUAAGCCAGUAGGUUUCCAUGUUGUAUGGAAACUGUUGAGUCACAGUCUGAACCAUUGAUUGAGCACCUGGGGAUCUCUUCCUGGUGAUCCUUCCUUGGUGAAGCUUUCCCUUGCAAACUUAGGAUCUUCUGAUAUGGGUGAGCAAUCUUCCUCCCUUCCUUUAUAGCACCUCUAUUUUGCUAGCCCUUUUGUUAUCACACCUUUGUUGUAACAUCUUUCCCAUUGUAUUGAUCUGUCUAAUUGCUACAUGUAUAAAUUUAGGAACAGCAAUGCUGAACUUCAGAUGAGAAACGUAGAACUUAAAUGAUGUCCAAGUAAGUGGUAUUUGAUAUAGUUGUUAGUUUGUUUGUUUGCUGUUGAGUUCUAAAAUGAAAGUUAUUUGUGGAAGUCAAAUCAGGACUGAGAUCUGUAUUUUUCUAAAUUGUGAGUUUGUCUUGAAUGUGGAUAUAGUGUUCAUACCUAACUCCAGUAUAAGACAUUUGGCUAUAAGUACCUUUACUUUUUAGAGAUACCUGCAGAUUUUA
ensembl:lncRNA